UACGGAGGGGGCUAGCGUUGUUCGGACUUACUGGGCGUACAGCGCACGUAGGCGGCCUGGAAAGUCAGAGGUGAAAUCCCAGGGCUCAACCUUGGAACUGCCUUUGAAACUCCCGGUCUUGAGGUCGAGAGAGGUGAGUGGAAUUCCGAGUGUAGAGGUGAAAUUCGUAGAUAUUCGGGGGAACACCAGUGGCGAAGGCUGCUCACUGUCUCGAUACUGACGCUGAGGUGCGAAAGCGUGGGGAGCAAAUAGG
rnacentral:rRNA from 1 species